UGCUGUUUUGGCAGCACAUAUACUAAAACUGGAACAAUAUCGGGAAGAUCAGCAUGGCUCCUGUGUAAGGAUGACAUUCAAACUCAUGACGUGUUUCAUAUUUUU
rnacentral:snRNA from 1 species